UACGUAGGGGGCAAGCGUUGUCCGGAAUCAUUGGGCGUAAAGAGCGUGUAGGCGGUCCGAUAAGUCGGCUGUGAAAGUCAAGGGCUCAACCCUUGAAUGCCGGCCGAUACUGUCGGGCUAGAGUCCGGAAGAGGCGAGUGGAAUUCCUGGUGUAGCGGUGAAAUGCGCAGAUAUCAGGAGGAACACCGGUGGCGAAGGCGGGUCUCUGGGCCGAUACUGACGCUGAGGAGCGAAAGCGUGGGGAGCGAACAGG
rnacentral:rRNA from 1 species